GGGUCAGCAGGUCGGUCGUGCCAAUGGUAUGCACUGGCCUUGCUGAUUCCUCCCUCUUGAUGAGCCGUAAUGCCAUUAAUUUGGUGUUGCCGGGGAAUCAGGACUGUUACUUUGAAAAAAUUAGAGUGUUUAAAGCAGGCUAACGCUUGAAUACAUUAGCAUGGAAUAAUGAAAUAGGAC
rnacentral:rRNA from 1 species